UACGUAGGGCGCAAGCGUUGUCCGGAAUUAUUGGGCGUAAAGAGCUCGUAGGCGGUUUGUCGCGUCUGCUGUGAAAACUCAGGGCUUAACCCUGAGCCUGCAGUGGGUACGGGCAGACUAGAGUGUGGUAGGGGAGAUCGGAAUUCCUGGUGUAGCGGUGAAAUGCGCAGAUAUCAGGAGGAACACCGAUGGCGAAGGCAGGUCUCUGGGCCACUACUGACGCUGAGAAGCGAAAGCAUGGGGAGCGAACAGG
rnacentral:rRNA from 1 species